UACGGAGGGGGCUAGCGUUGUUCGGAAUUACUGGGCGUAAAGCGCGCGUAGGCGGCUUUGCAAGUUAGAGGUGAAAGCCCGGAGCUCAACUCCGGAACUGCCUUUAAGACUGCAUCGCUAGAACGUCGGAGAGGUAAGUGGAAUUCCGAGUGUAGAGGUGAAAUUCGUAGAUAUUCGGAAGAACACCAGUGGCGAAGGCGGCUCACUGGCCCGGUACUGACGCUGAGGUGCGAAAGCGUGGGGAGCGAACAGGA
rnacentral:rRNA from 1 species